rnacentral:rRNA from 1 species
UACGACUACAUAUCAGGCAUAUCAAUAAGCGGAGGAAAAGAAACUAACAAGGAUUCCCUUAGCAACGGCGAGUGAAGCGGGAAGAGCCCAAAUUUGAAAUCUUCAAGGUUUUACCUUGACGAAUUGUAGUUUAAAGAAGUGUUUUCUGUUGAAGUUUCGGUAAAAGUUCUUUGGAAUAGGACAUCAUAGAGGGUGAGAAUCCCGUAUUUGACCGUUAUUUUCAGCUGUGUGAUACACUUUCAAAGAGUCGGAUUGUUUGGGAAUGCAGUCCAAAAUGGGUGGUAAAUUUCAUCUAAAGCUAAAUAUUGGCGAGAGACCGAUAGCGAACAAGUACCGUGAGGGAAAGAUGAAAAGAACUUUGAAAAGAGAGUUAAACAGUACGUGAAAUUGUCAAAAGGGAAGCGUUUGACACCAGUGUUGUUUUCUCGAAAAUCAAUUAAAAAUAAAUUUGAUUUUGUGUUGUAUUGACCUUAAAAGCUUUCUUCACUUUUUUCAUGUCUAUUUUUAAUGCACUUUUCGUUUAACAAGUCAACAUCAGUUUCUUUUGUUGUAAAAAGGUCAUUGGAAGGUGGCUUUCUUUUCGGAGAAAGUGUUUAUAGCCUUUGACUCCUGCAAUCGGAGAGACUGAGGUCUGCAGCGUAGAUCCUUCUGGAUUAGAUUCAUUUGUGCUAAGUUAUAGCUUUUCAUAGACAACUUGUUGACUAUGUUUUGUCAGUGUAGCUUACUCGCUUAUGUAAUUUUACCUACGCUUAGGAUGUUGAACGCGCACAGAGUCUC